rnacentral:rRNA from 1 species
UACGGGGGGGGCAAGCGUUGUUCGGAAUUACUGGGCGUAAAGGGCGCGUAGGCGGACAGUUAAGUCAGAGGUGAAAGCCCAGGGCUCAACCCUGGAAUUGCCUUUGAUACUGGCUGUCUUGAGUGCGGGAGAGGUGUGUGGAACUCCGAGUGUAGAGGUGAAAUUCGUAGAUAUUCGGAAGAACACCAGUGGCGAAGGCGACACACUGGCCCGUAACUGACGCUGAGGCGCGAAAGCGUGGGGAGCAAACAGG